rnacentral:rRNA from 1 species
AGUGAACGCUGGCGGUAGGCCUAACACAUGCAAGUCGAACGGCAGCACAGUAAGAGCUUGCUCUUACGGGUGGCGAGUGGCGGACGGGUGAGGAAUACAUCGGAAUCUACUUUUUCGUGGGGGAUAACGUAGGGAAACUUACGCUAAUACCGCAUACGACCUACGGGUGAAAGCAGGGGAUCUUCGGACCUUGCGCGAUUGAAUGAGCCGAUGUCGGAUUAGCUAGUUGGCGGGGUAAAGGCCCACCAAGGCGACGAUCCGUAGCUGGUCUGAGAGGAUGAUCAGCCACACGGUAACUGAGACACGGUCCAGACUCCUACGGGAGGCAGCAGUGGGGAAUAUUGGACAAUGGGCGCAAGCCUGAUCCAGCCAUACCGCGUGGGUGAAGAAGGCCUUCGGGUUGUAAAGCCCUUUUGUUGGGAAAGAAAAGCAGCAGGUUAAUACCCCGCUGUUCUGACGGUACCCAAAGAAUAAGCACCGGCUAACUUCGUG